GAUGAACGCUGGCGGCGUGCCUAAUACAUGCAAGUCGAGCGAACAGACGAGGAGCUUGCUCCUCUGACGUUAGCGGCGGACGGGUGAGUAACACGUGGAUAACCUACCUAUAAGACUGGGAAAACUUCGGGAAACCGGAGCUAAUACCGGAUAAUAUAUUGAACCGCAUGGUUCAAUAGUGAAAGACGGUUUUGCUGUCUCUUAUAGAUGGAUCCGCGCCGCAUUAGCUAGUUGGUAAGGUAACGGCCUACGAAGGCGACGAUGCGUAGCCGACCUGAGAGGAUGGUUGGCCGCACUGAGACUGAGACACGGUCCAGACUCAUACGGGAGGCGGCAGUAGGCAAUCUUGCGCAAGGGGCGGAGGCCUGUCGGAGCAGGGCCGCGGGAUUGAGGAGGAUCUUCGGGUCGUAAAACUCUGUUAUUGGGGAAGAACACAUGUGUAAGUAACUAUGCGCGUCUUGACGGUACCUAAUCAGAAAGCCACGGCUAACUACGUG
rnacentral:rRNA from 1 species